rnacentral:rRNA from 1 species
AUGGCAUGCGUGCAGAUGACGACAGAGGGCCAGACGUGGCUUGGCUUGGUGCUGGAGCUUGAUGGCGCGGACGCCACCGUGGGACGCCUGCGUUCUGCUGCUCCAUUACCGGCACCUGUCCCUGUGCGGCGCGUGCGAACCCGCCGUGAACGCCUGCCCCGUGUGCGCGGCCACCAAGAACGCCUUGCUCCAUGUCCUCCUUUCUUGACCAUCCAACUCCGAGCCCCGGCUGGGAAAGAACUUAAAACUGAGAAAGAAGAUGAUCUUAAGGUGAAAUCAAAAGGAGGAAGAUGGAUGGAUGGAUGA